UUCAUUAAAUUCCCUAGAACAUUCAAGAGAAAGAAUAGAAGGAGAAACAAGAGAAAAACCAAGAACACAAGAGAAGGGCCAUUCGGCCACCACUCCAAAAAUUUGCCCCUCAAAAUAUUGAUUCAAAAAUUAUUUUCUUGUUGAAUUUCCAUUAAUUCAAGGCUCCUCUACAACUUGGUGUAGUUGGUUUGGAAGGAAGAGGACUUGUUUCUUCAAGUUGACAAUUUAUUCAAGUAAAGAAUAUUGGAGAAGAAGGUUUCUGACGAAACGGGAUUCGAGCUUUGGCGAUCGUAAAGGGCAAGAAAGGUACAGACGACAGAUUUGCUGAACCGCCCGCUUAAGACUUUGUUAUGCUAUUUUGGAGCGCUCUUUUAUCC